rnacentral:tRNA from 1 species
GGGCGUUUAGCUCAGUUGGCUAGAGCGUCGCGUUGACAUCGCGGAGGUCACUGGUUCAAGCCCAGUAACGCCCA